UGACUUCGGUGCAAGCGUCAACAUCAUGCCUAAGGUGAUAUAUGAAAAGCUAAUUAAUAUUCCUUUAUCGUACACAAACAUAUGUUUGUAGCUUGUAGACUAGUCAAUCUGCUACCCCAUGGGAAUCCUGGAAGAGAUCUGCGCACAAGUAGGCAACUUGUAUAUACCUGUAGACUUCACACUAGUGAACACAGACAGUAAUGAGAGGUCACCUAUCAUUUUGGGAUGACCAUUCUUGAACACUACCGGAGCCAUUAUCUACGCCAACAAUGCCAAGAUCACCUUCAAUAUUAAGGGCAACAGGGAAGCCUAUUCUUUUAAGAAGAGGACAUUGUUAUUCCCUACUCAGAAAGAAACUAUCGGCGGUAGAAACAAGAGCAACACCCAGAACAAGGCCAAAACCAAGAACAAGGACGUGGUUCGUCCCAGACAUAGACAUAUCCCUUUGAAGUAGAGAAACCAAAGUUACCCUCUCUAUUCUGCUACCAUCGCCCAUAUACUAGAAUUGCUCUACUCUUAUUCCCAUAUUAUCACUCACUGUUAUCUUACCUUUAAUAUUGUUCUUAUUCAAUUCUACCAUCUUUCCUAUUUACACUUAUCUAUUUAUCUUGGUUAAGUUAGAGCGUAGUUAGUUCUCCCGUUUCCCUGUGGAUACGAUAAAACCUUUAACCGGGUAAAAGCUUCAACGGUAUCCGUGCGCUUGCGGAUUAUCUGUGUGCGUAUAAAUACCAUAGUACACUCUAGUGCCAUGCUGGGGAUGACAACCUAGUAUUCAAGUGGUGUUAGCAAGUGUCAACAAGCAUUUUUGGCGCCGUUGCCGGGGAAACGGUUGCUGAGUUGACUACGAACUAACUUAAUCAUUUUCUAAAAAAAUAAUAAAAAAAAUAUUUUUCCUUUUAUCCUUUGCCUCAUCUCUGCUAAUCUUUCUUCUUAUCUAAUCCUUGAUCUCUGGUCUAUCAUGAAUUCAAACAUGUCUAUCUAUGAAUUUCAUUGACCUUCGGGCACACAUCUCGAACCACCAAAAUCUUCAAAGCCUAUCAUAACAUCUAGUUUUGAGAUAGACCCCGAAUACAUAGAAUUUGUUCAAAAAGAACCUUUCUCAGGAGAAGGUGAGGAAAACCCAUACGCACACCUAAGAGAGUUUUAUCAAGUCUGUGACCUCUUUCGCAUAGAAGGAAUGUCCGAUGAGACCCUCAAAUGGAAGCUCUUUCCGUUCUCUUUAACGGGAAAAGCUAGACAUUGGUACAAACUCAAAGUAGGGAGUGUUCAUGGAGAUUGGAAGGAGUUAUAUAGUAGUUUUCUUUCUAAAUAUUUUCCAAUCUCCAAAGUGGUGGAACUUCAGCGUGAGAUUAUUUCUUUUAGACAGCUGGAAGAAGAAUCUCUUAGGAAAUCAUGGGACCACUUUAUUAACCUUACUCUCACUGGCCCGAAGCUUUCUAUUCCAGAAGAAGUUCUUCUAAUUCACUUUUUUGAGGGCCUUAGUGGGGAAAAUAAGCAAACCUUGAAUACAGCCUCUAGAGGAUCCUUCUAUCACCUACCUGCUAGUGAAGCUUGGAAUUUGAUUGAUUUAUUAAGUGGAAAGUCUCCUAGCUUUUAUAUCCCUGAGAAAGAGACAGAACCAGUUCCUAGACAAGAAGAAGAAGUUUCGAUAGCCAGAUCACAACCACUUCAAUUCCAAACUUUAGCUAACGAUCCUAAACCAUCAAUACCCCAAAAUUCUCCAAGGGAGGAAGGAAUUCUGACCUUAAAUCUUUCAGAUGCUAAUGGUUUAGACUUCUGGUUCCAUAAGAGACCUUCAAGCAGGGAUAAUUCAAAUCCUCGCAAUAAUGGUUCUCUUAGAGAAUGUCCUGGUUCCUGUUAUGAAGAAGUCGAGGAUGACAUAUCAAGUGAAGGAGAGCUAAGCCAUAUUGAAAAUUCUAACAGCUCCCCUUUCCUGAUCACAAGUUCUAAAUGGCUAGAAUGUGUAGAAUGGAUGGAUAAGGAAGAAGCCUUAAUGAAUUCUGACUUUGGUUCAAUUUCAAAUGGUGAGUUCUUGACUCCCUUUGAAGAUGGGAUUCAUCCAACUAUAGAAGAGGACAUAAGUGAGACCAAUCCAAGAGAAACUCUGAACAUUCAGAUUGGAGACGAAGAUAACAUUAAUGAGCAUGGAAUUUAUUUCAUAGCCACUUUGUUUACUCCAUGCUCAUAUGCAACAUCUUCACAAUCUAUUGGUCUCUCCAACAUCACCACAUUUGAGAUCUCCAACCCCCUCUUCCUUUCUAUUUAUAAAAACUUUAAAAGGGCGGUUGUCGAUGCAUAUGUCUAUAAUAAAUAUUGCAGAUCUCGUUGAGUUGAUCUUGAUUUAGGUCAGCGUUGGAAGGAAAACCACUUCGCCGACAUAAAUUGAUGGUUUCCCAAGGACAAGCUUAGUGUCCUCAAAUAAGCACUGAUCAGAUCAUAACAUGAGUUUUUAAUUAUUUUCAACAUUACCCUGUGUAUUGAGCAUAUAAGGAUAAUUGUAAAAAUAUUCCUUCGGGUAUUCUUGUCACUAACCUUUGCAGGAUUAGAACAAGAAGAUCAGAUGAAUGACAAGCAAGUACAAGGUAUGUCCAACCAAUCAUCAUGCAACACUGAAUUAAAUUCAUCCAAACUUGAAUUUUGCAAAAUUCAAGCUUGGGGGAGUACUUUACAUAAAAACAUCCUUUUCCAUGUUGCUAUGCUGGUUGUCCCUACCUUUGAGACAUGUUCAAUUUGUUAAAUACUAAUCACACUACUUCAUCUCCACUUGAGUAGAUCUCUAUAAAUGCUGUCAUGUUACCUUUGUCUAUUUUCUAGUAAGUGUUAGUUUGAAAGUACUGCACAUACUUCUAUUGGCUUUUAAAUUAAGCAUGGUGCUUAGGUUAAACAGCCUUCCUUAAUCUGAUUAGACAUGGAGUCUAGUUCGGUUAUUGAACUAAAAACUUCUUGUGUAGACAUUGGUAUAUUUUUGUCGGACUAACCCCUGCAGAAAAACUUUCAAUAUCGAUUUGGGAAGUCCUGAGAUAAACUCACAUCAGAGACGAAGAGAGUGACACAUGAAGUUUAACAAUUUGCACAAGAAGGACAUAGCUCAUUCAUCAUAGAGAGAUGAUCCAUGGAGGGUGCCACAAACACGAUGCACAACCGUUAAGAAAGGAAAACUUCCACAAGGUGAUACUGUACCAUCACUCUUCAAGCAAGGUAACAUCUUAAGGUACUUGACUAUCACUUUUAUAAGCUUCUGCUUGGUUCUAGCGUUCAUAUAAAUAAAAGAGACAAACAUGUAUGAUUUACAACUCUAGAUUAACCAACCCAACUGAUUCAACAUGUUUAGUCCUUUAAUCCUUGUUCUUAGUACUACCUCCAUGAUCCCACACUCCUAAUCAUAUGAGCUAAAAUGUUACAAAUUCAAUCAUUGAGAGAUAUAAAGGAAAAGACAUAUACAUAGAUAGAUUAUCUUUCCAUAAGGUUGAGAUCUGAUCUGACAAAUGUUAUAAGUGCUACACUCAUGAACUUUUCAUCCAUCAACUUUGUCUUGCUCACUAUGCUUAGGGUUAGAGAAGAACAAAUACACUUUAGGUUCUGUUGGUGUUUUCCACCAACAGGACCCAUGCACUUGAUCUCUGUCUUGUCUCUAUGAGCAGGUACACUUCGAGCAAAACACGGAGGAGUUUUAUAACUCUCAGACUCUACCAAGUGAAGGACCUGGAUCUACGAGCACAAACACACUGAGCAGGAUACUGCCAACGCCACACUUCGAACUGCUGGGCAAACGAAGAGGUGCAGACGUCAAGGUCCGCACCUGAAUCAAAUGACGCACAUGAAGAAUGAACACGGUGAGAAGUCUUGUUAAGAAGACUUAAAACAUUGAACCCUCGCCGAAAGGUAAGAUCAGUAGUUAUCCAUUUUUAUCCUUUCUGCAUUCCCUUUUCCCUCUAAUUAUUUACUUUCCUUAAAUAGAUUAUUAGUUAAUCAUGCUAUCUUGAAAAGAAAAUAAAAAUAUUAAAAAACAUUAAGCCCCAUGUGAGUAUACGAGUGGCAUAAAACCCAUAAGUACCUUCACUAUGGUGGCAUAAAAAUAAAAUAAAUAUUUCUUUUCUGCUUUAUAAAAUAAAAAUAUAAAAACAGGGAGUAAUAUUUAUUGAGGAAGCUCAACAUGACAAAGGCUAGAUAUUUAUGCUAACACUUAAUUAGUUCCAUAAGCUUUGUUGUCUAUUUGAGCUCCACAGAAUUUAAGAAUCAAGAAGACUAGCAGACGGAGGACAUUCUAAUCGCUGUCAGAAUACUGCUGACAUUCAAAUACACCUCUGCCACCUGCUAGCUACAUCAAGAGAAAUUACGUCAAAAUUCAGCUUGGGGGUGAGCACCCCCAUUUAUCUCGCUAAGUAUUUCUACCUAUCUUUAUACUUAUAUUAUAUUAGAAUAUUAAAAUACAUAAACUAUGAAAAACCAAAUAAAGAUUUUGUGCUUAUAAAUAAAUAUUUUGCUUAGUGUGUUUAAUAAAUAAAUAAAGUGGCUAUGCUAAUCUGAAUCUUAAUAAUAAAACUCUAGCAUGGAUAUGAUGAAUAGUUGCUCUGCCUAAUUUGCAAAUUUGAAGUUCUCUCUCAAGUUUAGACAUAACUGUUAUAAUUUAAAGGUUGCUCUAGAUCUAAACUUGUGGGAUGAAAACUUGAUCUGAAAUCUAAGUUGUUAACGGAUAUGAUAUGGGAAGGUUGAGCUGCUGUUUAUCUGUUCCUAGAGAUGCUAGAACUCUAGAGAAUUUUAUCUUUGAAAAAUCUUUAAAAUAUUGCAUGAUGAGUUCCUGUAUGAUGAGAGUUUAAAUUCCUACCACAGCCAUAUAUACAUGCUUGCUAGACUUUGAGCCACACAUUUAUUAUUUACUGCUUAUGAGCAUUGAGUGUGGUCAAGCUGUGUAGACCCUUAGGAGCUUGUCAUGUGGUUAAAUCAAGAUUCACUUGCACGUUCACUCAUAUAUGCUACUUCUACUCCGGAAUUACCAUCCACAUAUAUCCAUCCAUGUCCAUCUCCAGAACCACCCAAAAAUAUUCUACUCCUAAUCCGGGAGAGAAUAGCCAAAAAUAUUUCUGUUUUCCCUUGUGAAAUAAAUGCUCAAGUUAUCUUGCUACUACCACUUGCUAUAUUAUCUCAAGAGAUGAGUGCUCUGAAAAGAAAAAAAAUAAAAAAGAAAAAAAAUGAAAAAAAAAUAAAUGAGGAAAUAAAAAGGGGCAAGUGCCCGGAACCUCGAAAGAAAGAAAAAGUGAGACGAGAGGUAAAAAUGGACAAGUGUCCGACAGUCGAAUUAGGGGUACAAGAUACCCACCUGAGAGGAAAUAAAAAGAAGAGCAUCUCAUUCUCCUCAUAAAGUUUCAAAAAGCAAGGAAGGUAUGUAUCCCCUCAAAAGAGCAAAAGUAGAAUUAGACUUUCACCAUUGUUAUCACCAUCAUCACCAUACACCAUUCAUUCGCCACACAUGCACAUCUUGAUUUGGCUUAUUGAUUUGUUUCUUUGGAUCCAUGGUUUGACUAUACAAUAAAUGUCUUGUAAGUAUGUAUUAGCUGUCUCCCACCUAUGAGCUCUAGAUAUUAAAGCCUUAUUAGAGUAGGGUGAGAGAGAAGGCAAUGUCACUAUGCCUUAUGCCACAAAUACCAUAUAUCUUGAGAGAAGGCAUAUACCAUCACUGCCGUGGUAAGGAUCCAGAAAUACCACAAAAGAGAGAUUUAGAGAGUCAUACAAGGAAUCUCUAAGUUUUAUUUGAAAAUCUGCAAAAACUCCAAAGCUAUAGCUGAUCAAGAAUAAGAGACAUGGCACUUGGCUAGACUAUUCUAUCUUUUAACUACUCAAGACAGAAGUGACGGUUACAAGUCCCAUGGUGAAAGAUAAAGUAAGUAAGUUUUAGUUCUUGACAGUUUACUCUAACUCAGAGAUGAGAUCUUAUUUAAAAGCAUGUGUAUCGUCAAAUAUUUAAGAUAUUGCAACAACUUCUGAUCCAUUGCUGAGUCUAUCCUUGCUCAGGGACGAGCAAGAGGUAAGCUUGGGGGAGUUUGUUGACGGUCCUUAAGUAUCAAAUUUAAUUAUAAAAUAAACAAAGAAAAGGAUCCAAAUGAAAUCAACAUCUAGACUUAGGGUUUUAUCUGACAGAAUUCUACGAGUUUUGGUGUUUGUCUAUUUCUGCAGGGGGUUAUCAGGAAAUAUGGAAGAAAGGCCCACACGUCGGGAUUACAUAGAGAUAUUAACGUGCCGCGCAAUUUUACGUCAUCUAGAAGACUUCAGAAGCCACGGGAAGGAAGCGGAGACCGAACGGAGUCAGGGACAGGGCGCCCGCCCACCUUUUUCGGCCAAUCACGCUCAAUCUCGCGGAUUAUGCUCCAUCGACCUAAAGGAUCAAGAAUAACCGUUCAAUCAAUGUCGGUUUGAUCCAACGGCCCAGGUUCACUUGAGGGGACUAUAAAACCAGACCCCCUGGCCCCUGGAGGAGGCACCCCUUGAUCAUUAUUCAUUAUUCAUAGACAGAGCAAAAGCUAGGGUUUAGAGAUGAGAGCUCUCCUCUCUUCUCUAAACUAGAGUAGAUCUAGAUAGUAGCGAGAUGGAGAGCGAAGGAGGAUUAGAGGAGAGGCCGGCAUGUCGGUUCUUCCUCCGGUUGUACUUCGUCAUGAUCAAGCUCUAAUCAAGCUUGCUCAUGGGAUGACUCUGGUAAUCUACUUCUAAUUCAUUAUGCAAUUACUAAUUAUGUAUGUUCUGGUUCACAACUCUUUUGAGUACUUCUAAUCUAUAGGACGCUAUAGGUUAGAGUUGUAGUAUAGGUGUAAGCGAGGUGCUUAGAUCUAGAUUACUUGUGGAUAUCCCCUGUCUAGCUGGAUCAUGUGGUAGGCCGCGUAGGUGACAGUUACGUUGGUCCUCUGUAGUCCACCUCUCGUUAGCAGGACGGGUAGGGUUUAUCGGCCUAUGGAUAAGCAUCCUUUGUGGUGUAAUCUUAUCACGUGGUUCGUCCCAGACAAAGACAUACCCCUUUGAAGUAGAGAAACCAUAGUUACCCUCUCUAUUCUGCUACCAUCGCGCAUAUACUAGAAUUGCUCUACUCUUAUUCCCAUAUUGUCACUCACUGUUAUCUUACCUUUAAUAUUGUUCUUAUUCAAUUCUACCAUCUUUUGUAUUUACACUUAUCUAUUUAUCUUGGUUAAGUUAGAGCGUAGUUAGUUCUCCCGUUUCCCUGUGGAUACGAUAAAACCUUUAACCGGGUAAAAGCUUCAACGGUAUCCGUGCGCUUGCGGAUUAUCUGUGUGCGUAUAAAUACCAUAGUACACUCUAGUGCCAUGAUGGGGAUGGCAACCUAGUAUUCAAGUGGUGUUAGCAAGUGUCAACACUAACUAGUUACAAGAGCAACUACACAAGCACAAAUAUAUGAAGUAAAUACAAGCUUGUGUCUAGGGGAUGUAAACCAACAGGAAGAAUAAUGUUGAUAUGAUGAUUUUCUCCCGAGGUUCACUUGGUUGCCACCAAGCUACGUCCUUAUUGAGACAAGCUCUAAGGUUGCCACCGGUCCUCUUGCUAGUGGUGACCAGUAAGUCAUACUCUCCCAUAUGGAGUACUUACCACAAGAUCUAGCACUUGACCCGGCCAGACCACUUGUUGCCCUUCAUGUCUCACUCUACUAGAGUUGCUCUUUGCGAUCCCGUUGGGGUGAGCAUUGUACCCCUCACAAUCUCUUCUCCAGAGCACCAUGCAAUCUCCUUGCGUGCUUCGAUGGAGUCACAAGCCACCAAGCCGCCUAGGAGGUGGCAACCUCCAAGAGUAACAAGCUCCAUCGGCUUGCAACACGAACACCUAGUGCCACUCAAUGCAAUCUCUCAAUGCGACGCACUAGAAUCACUCACUCACACAAUCGAAUGAUCACCAUCAACCAUAUGUAAGUUAGAGGGCUCCCAAGCACCACCAAUCAAGCCACCAAGGCCUUAGUGUGCUCAGCAGUCAGCAAAAGCCAACCAAUACUUCUAUUUAUAGCCCAAGGGCUAAACUAUCUGUUGCCCCUUCACUUGGCAAAACGCACUGGCGUAGGAUGCUCCGACGCUAGGCGUCGAACGUGCGAACCUAGCGUCCGAUGCUCACGAAAUAGCCAUGUGUCACUAGCCGUUUGAACUCGACCGUUGCUGCUAAUGGCUAACUCGCACGAGUGCUUGACACAGUAGCACCGGACACUCCGAUGGUCUACACUGGAUGUGGAGGCUCAGCACCAGACGCUACUUAGGGAGCUCUGCAAAUGCGCAGGGGCCUCGGACGCAUCCGACGAUGGGUAAUCGGAUGCACCCUCAGCGUCCGACGCGUUCACGGGUGAAACCCUUGCUCGCGUCCUUGCUGACGUCACUAAGCAUUUGAUGCUGGAAUAGUGUUGGGCCCGCUUCCGAUGCUCACCGUCAGAUGCUCCGACGCUCAGUUCAACAUAGCACUACUUAACCACAACGCGCCAAACGCUGGGCUAGCGUCCGAUGUCCGUGUGUUUGUUGAUGCAAAAACUGAUCUGCAAACACAAAGGGCUAAUACCCGAUUCAAAUGUUAAGGCGUGCCAGCCGAUUUGACCUUACUAUCGGCAAAGGUGAUAACUCGAAUACUUUGGUCCCGACAACAGCGAUGCGCCCGGAUGUCACGGCCAAGAGGUAUUCACGCGAAACUUCGAGAAUAUGCCGAGCUUAAGUCGACGAACUCCUAAGAACUCGUAAUAAAAAGGAAAAAAUAUGAUGAAGUCGUCGAAAAAGUAGAUGCUGGAAUAUGAGUAAAAACUUGUGUUUGAUUGAUUGAUAGAUGUCUCAUUACAAGGCCCUAGGGUCUACAUUUAUACCCUGCUCAAAGAGCUACAAUCAGACACGACUACGACUCGAAUUCCAAAUUAAACGGAAUCCGUAUACAAAACGAAUUUAAAUAUCUAUGGAAAACAUAAAACUAUCCUCCCGUAACAGACCGGGACACCACCACAAGUCAAUCGGCAACCUUCACGUUCUCCUCCCGAGUCAUCGGCAGACUUCUUAUCAUAGCCAUCGGCAAAGACUACGCUGACCAUCGGCACGAACGCAUCACCACUUUUGGACUUAGUCAUAUUCGGCCGUCUCUUCAUCGGCAACUCCCCUGCAGACUAGUUACUGUUGCUCCAUCUGCCGAUCUAUACUUUACCGAUCCCCUAGGUACGUGUCUAAAAACGGUGUCAACACAUGCCCCCCAAUUUCGGAGUAUAAAAUCAUUAAUGCUCCGAAAUUCUCUGCAGUAAUGAUGCCUUUCCGCAAUUAAUUCUCUCAAUUUGGCAACCGACCGUUUAAAUAUGAAUAACCUUGGUCCGAUUUUCCUACAGGUUCCUCGAAUUCCUCAACCUUCUGAACCGGAUCUCCCUACUUAUGCGCCCAUCGGCAAUAAUACCGUUAGAGGGGACUGCCGAUGGACCGACCAAGAAAUCCCGCAGUGAAAUAUCUCCAGAUCAUGACCGCUUCCUGUCAAAUUACCUGCGCAAUCCCUUGAUUGUCGUGCGAACAGUUACCAUAUCCACCUGAGUACCCUCGGAUUUCACGGAUACGGCGAAGAGAUAAGUCAGAUUUGCCCUUGCCUGUUUUGUCCUUAUAAAUACUCCCUUCUCGGGUACUCCUUCUCCAUCGCAUCAUUCUACAGCCCCAACUCUGCUUUUCUAGGGGUGGCGCUGUUCGAGAACCCCAAGAACUCCAGCAAGAACUUCCCCCAAGUUUUUCGAUCUUCUUCUUCGUGGGGCAAUGGCCGUCAACUUCGUCGUUCCUGAGUUUAGCUUACCUUCCUCCUUUUUUCGUAUUCUUGCCGCACCUUUGUUCAUCCGUAAUUCCUUUUGCUAAAUAUUCCCUUUUCUUCUUGUUUUUCUUUUAUCCUUAAAUCCUUUAGAAUUUGGCCGACAAGAUCGUAAUCCCUACCGAUCAACCCCAUCUCCAAUGCCUCGGUCCACUAAGAAACUUGGAUCCCACCGAUCUUAUAAAUGCAGAGACAAACAAAAUCCCCUUUAGAGCCGAGAAUUUUUCCCUAGAUCUAUGGAAAGAUGCCUUUCAUUCCUGGCCCAGUCCCACCAAGGGAUGGAAGGACUGGUUCCUGAGAGUCAGUAACUCAAAUGAGGCCCAAUGGGGUGAACGGAAAUUAGAUCAGUGCAUUAGAUUGUCUCUUGCCGAUAUGGAGAGAAAUGAAUCACUGCUGAUCGCCGCUUCAUACUUUUGGUCAGACACCCUUAAUGCUUUUGUGUUUGGCCAUGACCCUGCUUCUCCUACACUUGCUGAUGUGCUUAUGUCACUAGCUUAGAUAUAUCCACUGCCGAUACCACCCACCCGUUUGACACCAAACCCAGUGCGAGGGUGGAAACUCGUUCUAUCGGCAGUUGGUCAGGGUAUAUUCAGAAGUAUCGUAGAACAGGACCUGUCAGUAUAAAGGAGCAGACUACCUUCCUGAAUAUGUGGCUAGAUAAGUUUGUAUUCUAUGGUCUAUCAGCAGGACCAACUUCUAUCUACCUAUCGGCAGC
rnacentral:lncRNA from 1 species